rnacentral:rRNA from 1 species
CACGUAGGGCGCAAGCGUUUGUCCGGAAUUAUUGGGCGUAAAGAGCUCGUAGGCGGUCUGUUGCGUCUGCUGUGAAAACCCGGGGCUUAACCCCUGGCUUGCAGUGGAUACGGACAGACUAGAGGUAGGUAGGGGAGAAUGGAAUUCCCGGUGUAGCGGUGAAAUGCGCAGAUAUCGGGAAGAACACCCGUGGCGAAGGCGGUUCUCUGGGACGGUACUGACGCUGAGACGCGAAAGCGUGGGGAGCGAACAGG